rnacentral:rRNA from 1 species
GACAAGGCUUGGGAACGUAUUCACCGUAGACGGACGAUCUAGUAUUGUCUGCGAAACUGACCUGAUGGAGGGGGAUUGCUACUGGCAACGGGGACUAAUACCGCAUAACGUCCGCAAGACCAAACGAGGGGACUUUCGGGCCUCUGCGCCAUUGUAUGUGCGUGUGUGGGAUUAGCUAGUAAGUGGGGUAAUGGCUCACCUAGGCGACUUCCCCUAGCUUAUCUGAGAGGAUCUCCAGCCAGUUUGGAACCGAGACACGGUCCACAACUCCUACGGGUUGCAGCAGUGGCGGAAUAUAACACAAUGGGCGCAAGCUGAAUGCAGCCAUGCAGCGUGUAUGAAGAAGUUCUUCGGGUUGUAAAUCCAUUUCUGCGGGGAGGUCUGCGAUGUGGUUAAUAACCAAGGUUCUUGACGUUACCCGCAGAAGAAGCACCGGCUCCACUCCGUGCCAGCAGCCGCGGUAAUACGGAGGGUUUGAGCGUUAAUCGGAAUUGCUGGGCGUAAAGCGCACGCAGGCGACUUGUCAAGUCGGCUGUGAAAUCCCCACGCUCAACCUGGGAACAACAUUCGAAACUGGCAGGCUAGAGUCUUGUAGAGGGGUAUAGAAUUCCAGGUGUAGCCCUGAAAUGCUUAGAGAUCUGAGCGAAUACCGGUGUCGAAGGCGGCGCCCUGGACAAAGGUAGACGCUCAGAUGCGAAAGCGUGGGGAGCAAAUGGGAUUAGAUACCCUGGUAGUCCACGCUCUAAACGAUGUCGACUUGGAAUGUUGUGCCCUUGAGGCCGUGGCUUCCGGAGCUAACUUGUUAAGUCGACCGCCUGGGCUUUACGGCCAGCAAGGUUAAAACUCAAAUGAAUUGACGGGGGCCCGCACAAGCGGUGGAGCAUGUGGUUUAAUUCGAUGCAACGCGAUUAACCUUACCUACUCUUUCCAUCCAGAGAACUUUUUAGAGAUGGAUUGGUGCCUUCUUCAACUCUGAGACAGGUGCUGCAUGGCAGUCGUCAGCUCGUGUUGUGAAAUGUUGGCUGUUAAGUCCCGCAGCGAGCGCAACCCUUGUCCUUUGUUGCCAGCGGGGGGGCCGGGAACUCAAAAACAACUGCCAGUGAUAAACUGGGUGAAGGUGGGGAUGACGUAAACAAGUCAUCAUGCGCCCUUACGAGUGAGAGGGCUACACACGUGCUACAAUGGCCUUUACAAAGAGAAGCGACCUCGCAGAAGCAAGCGGACCUCCCAAAGUGCGUUCAAGUCCGGAUUGGAGUCUGCAACUCGCCUCCAUGAAGUCAAAAUCGCUAGUAAUCGUCCCUCAGAAUAUUACGGUGAAUACGUUCGCCGGGCCUUGUAGCACAACAUAAGUCAAAAAAUGGGAUAUUUGUUGCCGCCGAAGCCCAAAAAC